UACGAAGGGGGCUAGCGUUGCUCGGAAUGACUGGGCGUAAAGGGCGCGUAGGCGGUUUGUACAGUCAGGUGUGAAAUUCCCCGGGCUCAACCCUGGAAAGCCGGUGGAUACUGUCGGGCUAGAGUCCGGAAGAGGCGAGUGGAAUUCCUGGUGUAGCGGUGGAAUGCGCAGAUAUCAGGAGGAACACCGGUGGCGAAGGCGGGUCUCUGGGCCGAUACUGACGCUGAGGAGCGAAAGCGUGGGGAGCGAACAGG
rnacentral:rRNA from 1 species